rnacentral:lncRNA from 1 species
CUUGAAUUGAACAUGACUUAAUUAUGUUGCAUUUCAGCUACGCCGAUCACGGCAUAUUAAUCAGAUACACUUUUUAUCUGACGGUUGUUGGUUCGUAGCCUUAUUUCAAGGUCUUCUAGCAAUUUAUUGUCGAAGUUACAAAAGUCAAAUGUUUGUCCAACUCGUACAAAGGCUUUUAACCUCCUAUCUUUGAUAUGACUGCUAUCCAAAAUAUCAUAAUUAACUACAACAAUUCUUCGAGGGUUGUUCCACUUGAAGUGAGUCCAAAUUUGGUUCCAUUCAAUCAUAUUGAUUUGUGAUUUUAAAUAAUCAUUGCUCAAAAUCACUCAAUACGAAUUUGAAAUUGCAACUUCAGUGAAAAUCUGUUCGACUUGCACACCACCUGGAAUGAAAUCUCUAGGAGGCAAACAGACUCUGAAGCCAUUUCUUUCUAGAUUUUUAACGAGACCUGUU